rnacentral:lncRNA from 12 species
AAGAAGCCUGAGUGGAAUUGGCAGAUGAGUGCUGCAACUCUAUGAUCUCUUUGCUCUGUCCCUUGUAGCCUGUGCUCACUGCCAGUGGUCAAGUUGUCUGGUCACAGGUGCAACGUGAAAAAAGUAAAGGAGGAAAUUCA